ACUUCAGGCAAGGAAGGAGCAGAUAAACUUAAAACAGUGAAACAGAAAAUAUAGGCUGAGCAGACAAAGCGGGAUUUAAAACAAAAUAUUUUUAUAACUUGCCUAUAACAAGACAUCUAGUCUUUCAGUAACAUGGAAUUCUACAUAAUUUCUAAAAGAAACAUGGCAUAAUGCAACUACCAUGUGUCAUCUCCAUAAGAUACCACCUUGGAACAUCCAGAAUACCAGAGGCGUACGCCCAACUUGAAAAGAAAGCAGAGAGAGGAAAAAAGGAACGCCCCUUUCUUUUGAGGGGUCAAGAAUCUUAUAAAUAUGUUCAAGAAAACCCAGAUUAACAUCAGUCCCAGUGGCACCCCACCAAACAUCUGUCCCCUACAUGGAUAUAUGGCUGCUGUCCAUUACACUUGGGAGCCAAUCAGCAACUACACACUUCUGUGAUGGAGGUAUGCCUCUGGAGAAGUGGUUAAGGAAUUGCUCUGGGCCCAAGCCUCUCCAUACCACCACCCCUGCAAAGGCUGACAGGAGCGAGAACUUAUUAAGGGAAGCAGAGUAGCUCAGUGGUGGGCAGACAGGGGAGUAGCUGACCUGUGCGCUGAACUCUGGGAAAGAGCAACACAGGAACUCUUGCUGCCCGACACGUUGCGAUGCUGACCUGACCAAGCCUGCAAAGGAGGGACUGGUGACUUUUGAAGGUCACUCAAAGUCAUGUUUAAGAAGCAGGAGAUGCAUACCAGAAGUUCUAAGGCCUAUGAAGAUGUAAGGAUAACAAAAUAACUGCGUUUUCAUGUAACAAAUAAAAUUGGCUACUAGUGCCGGAUGGGCAAGCAGCGAGAGAUUUCAAAAAUUUCACAUUCCAAAUCAUAAG